GACGAACGCUGGCGGCGUGCUUAACACAUGCAAGUCGAACGGAAAGGCCCUGCUUUUGUGGGGUGCUCGAGUGGCGAACGGGUGAGUAACACGUGAGUAACCUGCCCUAGACUUUGGGAUAACUUCAGGAAACUGGGGCUAAUACCGGAUAGGAGCUCCUGCUGCAUGGUGGGGGUUGGAAAGUUUCGGCGGUUGGGGAUGGACUCGCGGCUUAUCAGCUUGUUGGUGGGGUAGUGGCUUACCAAGGCUUUGACGGGUAGCCGGCCUGAGAGGGUGACCGGCCACAUUGGGACUGAGAUACGGCCCAGACUCCUACGGGAGGCAGCAGUGGGGAAUAUUGCACAAUGGGAGGAAGCCUGAUGAAGAAACGCCGCGUGCGGUAUGACGGCCUUCGGGUUGUAAACCGCUUUCGCCUGUGACGAAGCGUGAGUGACGGUAAUGGGUAAAGAAGCACCGGCUAACUACGUG
rnacentral:rRNA from 1 species